rnacentral:rRNA from 1 species
UACGAAGGGGGCUAGCGUUGCUCGGAAUCACUGGGCGUAAAGCGCACGUAGGCGGGUCUUUAAGUCAGGGGUGAAAUCCUGGAGCUCAACUCCAGAACUGCCUUUGAUACUGAGGAUCUCGAGUCCGGGAGAGGUGAGUGGAACUCCGAGUGUAGAGGUGAAAUUCGUAGAUAUUGGGAAGAACACCAGUGGCGAAGGCGGCUCACUGGCCCGGUACUGACGCUGAGGUGCGAAAGCGUGGGGAGCAAACAGG